UACGGGGGGGCAAGCGUUGUUCGGAAUUACUGGGCGUAAAGGGCUCGUAGGCGGCCAACUAAGUCAGACGUGAAAUCCCUCGGCUUAACCGGGGAACUGCGUCUGAUACUGGUUGGCUUGAAUCCGGGAGAGGGAUGUGGAAUUCCAGGUGUAGCGGUGAAAUGCGUAGAUAUCAGGAAGAACACCAGCAGCGAAGGCGGCGCUCUGGGCUGGAACUGACGCUGAGGAGCGAAAGCGUGGGUAGCAAACAGG
rnacentral:rRNA from 1 species